UUCGCCAGCUAUACCUUUGCCCUUGUCCUGACGAGCAAUAGGUUCGUCAGCUUCUUCUGGGGUGCUAGCCUGAUAAUUCGGAUCAGAUUCGGACACUUCUGCAGUUGUACGUGUCCGCUUAGAGACCCCUCGACGACCUCUACCACCACCUCGGCCACGUCCACGACCGCCUCCAGCGGCCAUCAGCACCAAAAUCAGCAACACAAACGAAAAUGCCAUUGUUCCUAUACAAAAAUUAACCUUGCAUGAACAAAAUUU
rnacentral:lncRNA from 1 species